rnacentral:rRNA from 1 species
UCGGCCAGCCACAGCUCCAAGAAUACGCGGAGGAGGUGGCCCGGGUCGGUGUCGGCGCCGUCCGGCGCGGGCCACGGGCCCGCUUCCAAGUGCGUCUGCGCGCCGGCCACCCACGCCGGGUCCUUCAAGUGCCGCUUCCACCGCACCAACUCCCAGGACCACGGCCACGGCCAAGGCUAGGGAAGCCGCCCUUCUUCGCCCCCUUCACCGGCCGCGGCCAACGCGGUGCCGCGGCACCCGGCCUCUCCGUCCUCGUCCUCCGGCACCGUUGCGGUCCAGUGA